GUGGGGUAGGCACACACUCCCUCCCCCAGGAAGCUUUUUUGUUUUUUUUAUCUCAUAUUCUCCCAGUCUCAUGUCAGACCACCCAGUGAAAUGUGGGUGUUUCAUCAGGACAGGGGCCGCAAUCUGUCCUAAUAAAAUUAAAUAAAAACAAACCUUUGCAGUACAGGAACUGGCUUUUACUUCUUGGUAACACUACUUGGAGGGAUGGUCAACGCUCUUUCACACCCAUGCAAGUGCCGGACCCGCAAGAGUUUAGUAGCAUUUCCUCCUGCUCUGAAAAUCGAGAUCUCCAAAAGAGCCUCACCGUUCUCUUUCUCAAGCCUCAGGUUCCCGCACUGGCAAUUCCUGUUCACCAUGGUUUACAUACUCUCUAAGAAGCAGGGUGAACUCAACGAUCUCCUUCCUCCAGGUGACUCUGAUCCUGACUUGGUUAAAUGAAGUCACAACCGUCCCUCCUUAACCCAGGGAAAGCAGACCCCUUCCUUCAGACACUGGGAACUAACUCUGCGGCGCAAGGAAGUCUCCAACCUCGCUCGAUCCACCCCCAGAACCGCGGGCUCCUCUCAGGCCAGCGCGCGAGCCGGGCCAGUUAAGUCUGUAGUUUGGCUCCGACCCUGGAAGCCCAACCCAGCGCCAGGCGUGGCCAUACGCACCGCAGGGACUGGGGCCUCCGGCCUCACGUCCAAGACUCCGGGAGAGCUGUCGGACCCAGGAUGUGAACGCCGCCGCCGUCGGUGUCCCGGACAGAGCUGCGCAGGUCCCUCUUUCUCCAGGAGGUGUCGACGCUUCCGUGUGCGUCAUCAGGACGCGCCCAUUGUGGAGCUUACAAUGGAACUACUGGUAAUCCAGGCAUGCCGGGAUACGGAGGACGGGUCUCCAUAGCAACCGGCCCACAGUAACCCAGGCCUUCAGCCUGUCCUAGCAUUCUGGUCUGUGUCCUUGGGUCCACUACCGAGUAACACGAUGCUCCGGCCCACCACCCCUCAGCUUAGGAGAGUAACAGAGCCAGCUGUGGGUGUAACACUCGUUUAUUUACACACUCUCAUCUGAAGGCAAAAGAGCAGCCCAACCAACUAGAGGGCACAGAUCUGGGACUUUAACCCCGAGGGCCUACAGACCCUUUCUUCCUUCCGGGAUCUCGGAAGGCAGAGAACGAAGGCAUGAGAGAACGAAAAGAUUUACGUUCUCCUCCAGUUCUGAGCACUACAUUCUAUGUUUUCAUCUCUCUAAAAGGCUCAUUUUAUUAAAUACUCAAGCUUUUCACCUCUA